ACGCUCGUCUCAAAGAUUAAGCCAUGCAUGUCGUAGUACUUGCUUUUCCUUACGAAUGAGCGAAACCGCGGACGGCUCAUUAAAUCGGUUACGGUUCACUCGCCCGUCCGCGUCCUGCUUUGUCAGGGCGUAGUCGGAUAACUGUGGUAAUUCUAGAGCUAAUACGUGCAACUUACGGCUUCCGAGAAAAUCGGGGGCUGGCAUUUAUUAGUCUGGCGUGCGCGGCCUUUAAGGUUUCGCGCGCCUGACGGCUCUGAAUAACGGUGGCGGAUCGUCCUCUUCUGAGGACGACCGGGCUUUUGAGUGUCCGCCUUAUCAACUUUCGACGGUAGGUUCAGCGCCUACCGUGGUGGUUACGGGUGACGGGGAAUCAGGGUUCGAUUCCGGAGAGGGAGCCUGAAAGACGGCUACCACAUCCAAGGAAGGCAGCAGGCACGCAAAUUACCCACUCUCCGAAAGAGAGGAGGUAGUGACGAAAAAUAACGAUACGGGACUCUUAACGAGGCCUCGUAAUCGGAAUGAGACCGCUUCAAAUCCUCGAGACGAGGAUCUAUCGGAGGGCAAGUCUGGUG
rnacentral:rRNA from 1 species